GACGAACGCUGGCGGCGUGCCUAAUACAUGCAAGUCGAGCGCAGGAAACUGACGGAGCUCUUCGGAGGGAAGGCAGUGGAAUGAGCGGCGGACGGGUGAGUAACACGUAAGGAACCUGCCUCAAGGAUUGGGAUAACUCCGAGAAAUCGGAGCUAAUACCGGAUAGUUCAUCGGACCGCAUGGUCCGUUGAUGAAAGGCGCUUCGGCGUCACCUUGAGAUGGCCUUGCGGUGCAUUAGCUAGUUGGUGGGGUAACGGCCCACCAAGGCGACGAUGCAUAGCCGACCUGAGAGGGUGAUCGGCCACACUGGGACUGAGACACGGCCCAAACUCCUACGGGAGGCAGCAGUAGGGAAUCUUCCACAAUGGACGAAAGUCUGAUGGAGCAACGCCGCGUGAGUGAUGAAGGUUUUCGGAUCGUAAAACUUUGUUGUAAGGGAAGAACACGUACGAGAGGGAAUGCUCGUACCUUGACGGUACCUUACGAGAAAGCCACGGCUAACUACGUGCCAGCCGCCGCAGUAA
rnacentral:rRNA from 1 species